UUGAAGUUUCCAUGCAGCAACAACCCAAUACUCUGCAAAACAGUAUUUUAGCAGCAAGCAUUCCACAUCUUCGGGAUUUUGACCUUCCCUUGUCUCCUCUGCUUACUACCCAGUCAAUGCCUACGAGGUAUAGCACAACAGAAUCAUCUAUUAGUGGGUCAAAGAUUUCCAUGCCUGAGGUAUUUUACUAUUGCCAUAAAUUCUUAAUCAUUAUACUAGCUGUUUUCGUGUGAUUGCUUGAAUGUUGAUUUAUAACUUGGUGAAGGAGAUGGUCAUGAGUAGCCACAACAUGUGUGUGUGUGUAUACACACACACAUGCGAACAAGUUUAGAAGUAGUAGUACUUCAUGCUAAUCUUCAGUUUUUUUCUUAAUAUUCUUUUUUUUUUUGCAUUCACUUAAUGUUUGUACUUCACCUGAUCCUAUUCAAACCAUAUUUGCCAAGGAAGGUCGAUGUUCUAGAACUUCGAAAUAAAGAACUGAUUCAUUUAAACCUAAGAUAAGCUUUACCUGAUACGAAGUAAAUUUCACAUCCUUGUAGCCAAUAUAUUCUUGUGGAGCAUUAGCAAGCCAAAAUGUGAUGAGUAAAGUUGGCUUGCCCACUUAACAGUCCUAAC
rnacentral:lncRNA from 1 species